rnacentral:lncRNA from 1 species
GCUAACAAGCUUUGCCUCUGAACAAAGUGUUCCCGCUGUCUGCCUGGCAGUCCCAUUCCCUCCGGGACAGUUGAGGGAGACUGACUCUCUGGUCACUGACCAAAAGGCUGGUAUUAAACUGGGGAGGAGUUGGCCAGGAGAACUGUAUGUAACUUUGGGACACUGGAUGUAGGAUCAUGAUGGUUCUUUCUGCCCACCUGGAAAACCCUUGGAGCCCUUGAAUCCACGCCCCAUGCUACCUGGGCAUGAGCUUGACCCACACCCAACAGAAGGACUCAGGACUCAGAGGGUCCUGGAGAAGAUGAUGCCACUGCAUCACCAAAACUGCCGGGAAAAAAAUCAUUUACUACAGGGAAUUUCAGAGGAUGAAGAACGUUUCCUUAAGGAUUUCACUUCAAGCUAA